UCAAACUUAUCUUGGGUAUCAAGAUCAGAGCUUUAACAGUUAUGUAGCUCCUUGGGCUCAUCCCCAACCCCAGCAGUUUCAUCCUCAAUAUCAACACCAAGGCCAACCUCAACUUCAACACCCAACCCAAGUCCAGUUUCAGCCCCAACCUCAAUCACAAAUUCAUCAUCAAUCCCGGCCCCAACCAUCCAAUCAGCCUCAACCACAGCAACCCCAAGAAUCUCCGUUACAAUCUCAGCAUACAUCACAACAGCUUCCACAGUCUCCUUUGCAAUCUGAACUGAACGAACAACCUAGAACUCAGCUAGAACUUCAUCCUCAGUCUCAACAGUUAC
rnacentral:lncRNA from 1 species